CCUACGGGUGGCAGCAGUAGGGAAUCUUUCACAAUGGGCGAAAGCCUGAUGGAGCAACGCCGCGUGCAGGAUGAAGGCCUUCGGGUUGUAAACUGCUUUUAUAAGCGAGAAAUAUGAUGGUAACUUAUGAAUAAGGAUCGGCUAACUACGUGCCAGCAGCCGCGGUCAUACGUAGGAUCCGAGCAUUAUCCGGAGUGACUGGGUGUAAAGAGUUGCGUAGGUGGCAUAAUAAGUAGCUAGUGAAACCUGGUGGCUCAACCAUUCAGACUAUUAGCUAAACUGUUAAGCUCGAGACCGUUAGGGGUAAGUGGAAUUUCUAGUGUAGGAGUGAAAUCCGUAGAUAUUAGAAGGAACACCAGUAGCGAAGGCAGGUUGCUGGGACGGUUCUGACACUAAGGCACGAAAGCGUAGGGAGCAAACGGGAUUAGAUACCCCAGUAGUC
rnacentral:rRNA from 1 species